ACCACGUAGGGGGAUAUCUUGGCUCGCCAUGAUGAAGAACGUAACAAAAUGCCAUACUUGGUGUGAAUUGCAAAAUCCAGUGAAUCAUCGAGUCUUUGAAAGUAAGUUGCGCCCGAGGCUGUAGGCUGAGGGCACACCUGCCUGGGCGUCA
rnacentral:rRNA from 1 species